rnacentral:rRNA from 1 species
UUCGACCUGAACUCAGACGUGAGU